UGGUAUGGCUCAGUUGGUAGAGCAGCGCAUUCGUAAUGCGCAGGUCGUCGGUUCGAGUCCGACUACC
rnacentral:tRNA from 3 species